rnacentral:lncRNA from 1 species
CCAGCACAGUGCAAACACCCAUGGCCUUCAGAAGAGUGAUCUCAUUGCCCUCCAUGCCUCCAAGGGUGCGAACUCUUACUCCAAGUACGUUUCUCAGUGGUCGAGGCUUUUGAGAGGUAAAAUCGAACCCUAUCCUCCUUUUGCCCUUUCUUUUGUCGAUCUUCCUCAAAUCCCGAAACAAUGAUGAAAGAAUCGCUUGGAACAGGUCCGGAAGUUUCGAAUCAAAGAAAUGGCAAGGGCGAUGGAACAACGAGCGCUGGGGCGUGGGCGAUCCGAUCGCGCAGCUCGCCGCCAAGCCCGCUUGCAACUACAAGUAGUGUCUAUCUGGAGCUGGAGGAGAGCUUGGCGAAGCACUUGGCUGGAGAUCUCAGCGAAGAAACAGGCAUCAACUUCGUGGACAGUCGUGUUUUCAGUCUCAGCCCUGCUCCAAGUCGGGUGUUCGCGUCCUCCUCAGGCUCUCUUUUGCUGGCACACACAGCGAGCUUGAUCUCGGCAUCACUUGGACAGCCCCGGUGGAUUGGUCUCCGGCUCGGGCUCAGUUCUACACAAGCUGGUACUUGGCUGGCAGCGGGAAUGCAAGGGGAUCCUGUUGAGGUAUAUGCUCUCAAUGACAUGAUCCUAGGUGGCAGGAGUGCCACUUCACUGAUCCAGGUGUAGGCUAGAGGUGUGUCUCUUCAUCCUGUAUAUAUAGCUAUGAUAUAUACGAUUAUCCUGAGAGUCAUCCACCAUCGUAGCUUCCGCUCUUCUUCUCUUCAUGGUAUCGGAGCCCUGAGGGCUUCAGAUCCUGGGACGAUGGCGCUGGCCCAGGAGGAGGCUAGCGAGGAUGACGAUGAGCCACCGGACGUGGCUGAGAGGUGCCAGGAUUUGGCACUGUGCUGCACUGAGCGCCAAGAUAACGGCACUAGCAAGCUGAGCAAGGCGCUAGGGUGUGAUCGAGCAGAGACUGGCCUGGAGGCACUGGUAGAGGCGCUGAGAGAGGGCUGGCGCGAGGCACUGGCCGAGCAGAGGUGAGCGCUGGGCACCCUGUAGGGUAGAGGCGCGAGACACCACGGGCUGCAGGCAGAGGUGCGAGGGAUUGGAGUGCUGGGGCGCUGGUGGACUGGACAGAGGUGCUGUCCAGAGGCAAGCGAGUGCUGGGCUGUGAGAGGGCUCCGUAGCAGAGGGAGAGAGCCGUUAGGACUCUGGCCAAGGAGGCUUGAUCGAGGCUGAGACGAUGAGGGCUGGCUUGAGGCACCGGAGCGCUGAGUGAGGUGCUGGUGUGAGAUAGCGACCCUAAGAGAGUGGUGCAAGGCACGAGCAGAGAGGCGCUGGCAGAGGCGCUGAGAGAGGAGAGACUGCGAUCAGAGGCCGAGGCGCUAGGGCGUGCAAGGCCUGCAGAGACUCACCAGAGGUGAGUGCCGGGCAUAGAGGCACGAGGCCCCGAGGGCUGGCCGAGCAGAGACUCCACUGGAGCGCUGAGUGAGGCGCUGGUGUGAGAAGGUGCUGGCAGAGGCGCUGAGAGGAGGCACUGAGCAGAGACAGAUUUCUGUCGUGGAUACGACAGAGUGCUUGGAUGCAGAGGGAGAGUGAUCUCAGAUUCAUGUCAUCGAGAUCGAGAGGGAGUGUUGAGGUAUACGCUCUCAAUGACAUGAUCCUAGGUGGCAGGAGUGCCACUUCACUUAUCCAGGUGUAGGCUAGAGGUGUGUCUCUUCAUCAUGUAUAUAUAGCUCUGAUAUAUACGAUUAUCCUGAGAGUCAUCCACCAUCGUAGCUUCCGCUCUUCUUCUCUUCAGAUCCAUCGUGAUUUCGUUUCGGGCAAAUGAUGGUUCUUCCCGGGACUGUUACUCUCCAGGCAUCGAGGCAGCCGAGGAUGAUACCGAGGUAUGUUCGUUUGAAUGGCCACACGCUACAGGUUUCGUUGGAUUGCCGAAACAUGGAGUUUUGGGACUGAUGAGAUUCACACCAGCAGAAGAUCGCAAAGCUCCUGCGGCUGUGGAGAUUGCUCAGCGAGUUUCUAUUGCAACCCAGGCCAUAACUCUUGACGAUCCAUUACCACAAUGAUCGAUUCACAACCCAAGAGGGGGCUUUGCCAAGGACGAAACACCGAGCAGCACAAAUGCGGGGGAUAAUCUCGUCUGGUGGGCGAUCUAACAAAAACGCCAUGGAUUUCGCAAAGACCCCUGUCAUAUGGUUCAAGUACAUGGUAUGAUUUUUUUAUUACGGGAACCUGGUUGUCGAGAUGAUGGCUAUCAGGUAAGUGUAGAGGUAAACCGUUGUAGAAGACCUGGGUUCGAUGCCGAAGGGUCCACUCAACAAGGACUUUUAUGCAAAAAAUUUGCUAAAUAAGGAGCCAUUAUUCUGGUUCGCCGGCUCACAAAAACAGCUUAGACCAGUCAUUUAGGACAUCGGUCUCCCAAAACAAACGUUUCGGGUUCGAUUCUCUUCCCGAUAUUUGUAAAUACCAAAUACUGAAUCAUCGUCGAUCAUCAAUGCGGAUGCUCUGGCAUCGCGACGCUGGAGCACCUCAGCCUUGCGCAGAUUGACGUGGGCAAGCUGGAGACUGCGGCAGCUGUGAUAAUCCAUUUCCUGGCCUAUCGGCGCAGCGGCGGCUCCAGCCCUGGCAGCUGAUUCUCUUGUCUCGUCUGAUUCCAUUGACAAGACAUGAUCGAUCGCAGGCGCUCCUCCUGUCGCUCCUCCUCCUCCUCGCAGUGUAGCUUUCUCGACGCUGACCUUGUGUUUGGCGCCCUGGCGGCGGGAUACGUUUUCAGGGACCAAGGUUGAGAGGUAUGAACUUCCAGAGAAGUAGACUUUGUAAGCUUUCGGUGUGCUUUCCAGGUUCAGGGCUGUGCUUGGACACAUUCACCAUCCAUUCCUGUCACGAACAGGCAAUUCCGUCCUCAGGCAGCUCAAGUGGACGAAGUUCUCCAUGUGCCUGGUGGGUUUGGGGGAAUUAAACAAGCCCGCUUUUUCUCGGAGAGACUGCCGUCCUGCCCGAGCUUGAUACUCCUCCCGAUUUUAGCACCCAAAAAUCACCCCGAUUCUUGAGACGCAUCAAGGAUAUUUACUAGCCAGACUUCCAUGGUGUCUACAUGAAAGGUUUAUGCGAAGGAGGACGCCACCCUCACUGUCAGAGCGUGGUCGAGGCUUUUGACAAGCGCCAAAGGGGUGAUUACAGUUCCCUAGGAUCACCCCCGCAUUGAUCUGCCACAGGAGAACUAAAUCUCUCGUGCCUCUUGAUUAUUGCUAGUGAGAGCAGCAGGAGCUUGAUGGUGCAGAACUACCACUUUCUGUUCUAUCUGGAAGCGUCCCAGUUGUCACCGCACCAAAUGCCACGAACUUUCAAUUGCUAUCUAGGGCAUAAAAUGAGUAACUAUCACAAAUAUUCUUUUGCAUAGCUCGAACCAAGGCACCACUGGACUACUGAUCUUUCAUAACAUUAUUAAGAAAGGAAGGCUUUGAUGUGAAAAAAGCCUGAUCUUGUCCAUAACCAAUAAGAGGUGGGAUAGAGGAUCAGCAAGCAAUCCCAAAGUGUAUGCGACAUUUCUACUUCCAUACUUUUUAUGCUAGAACCAGUGCACAAGGUUGCAUCAACUUUUUUCAUAUAUGAGCUUUUAUGAUUUCUUGGUGAGUUCUCAAUUGUUUUCUGGAUCUAUCACUUUCACUUUAUCCCAUCAUUCAUCACAUUUUUUUUAUCUCAAGCCUUCCUAGUGCAUUUUGCUCUAUCACAAAUGUAUAUUGCAACUUUCCAUGCCAACUAUAUGUGCUAAAUGACAAUUGUCCAAGGCUCAAAACUCCACUAAAAGAUACUUGAACUUCAAGACUAUUGCACUCAAUAUACAUGCUAAUAAGAACAACCUGGGUAGAGACAAAAUUGCUACCUGGCAAAACAUCAACCCAUUUUGUCCCUUCUAGACAUAAGUAUGCAUAGAGGUGGAUUGCUUGCUUACCACACUCAUGCAACACGUACACACUGAUCAUCGUGUUUCAUCCUGCUCAAUCAAAUGCAUCUCAAUGAGCCCACACUUUCCAUACAUAUAAACUCAACUACUAGAAAGAAUUCAAGCACAGAUUUACUUGCCCUUGGAGAGAAUCUCCCAGCACAGUGCAAACACCCAUGGCCUUCAGAAGAGUGAUCUCAUUGCCCUCCAUGCCUCCAAGGGUGCGAACUCUUACUCCAAGCUUUUGAGAGGUAAAAUCGAAACCUAUCCUCCUUUUGCCCUUUCUUUUGUCGAUCUUCCAGCUCGUAAGUCCUCAAAUCCCGAAACGAUGAUGAAAGAAUCGCUUGGAACAGGUCCGGAAGUUUCGAAUCAAAGAAAUGGC